ensembl:processed_transcript Gm15888 predicted gene 15888
GACCAGGGAGGCCAUCCCCCCAAACACCAUCAAGAGGUCAGAGCUGAACCAGGGCCCGAUCCCUUUCCAGCCACCCCUUCAACCAGGGGGAGAGAGACCUAAGGGAGGACAGGACUCCCAGGACCAAGCCUGGAGUAGCUGAAGAAACUGUGACCACCUCCAUCGACAGGAAGCCCCUUCAUAGCUCCCAACAGAGCUGUGAAAUGCUGCCCUAAAGUGUCAUAACUACUAAUAUUUAUAUGACCUACUCCAUUAGUACCAUUAAAAACAACAACAAAAACAGGUUUACAAACCUGAGAUCAAACAGACAAACAAAAUCCAACAACAACAACAACAACAACAACAACAACAACAACAAAACAAAGUGGCAGUUGGAGAGAUGGCUAAGAGGUUAAGAGCACUGGCCAGUGGCACUUCCAGAGGUUCUGAGCUUAACGCCCAGCAACCACAUGGUGGCUCACAACCAUCUGUAAUGGGCUCAAUCUGAUUCCCUCUUCUGGUGGGUCUGAAGGCAGCUACCCUGUAUUCAUGUACAUAAAAUACAUAAAUAAAUGGUU